rnacentral:lncRNA from 1 species
UCGAUAUAAUAAUGAGCAGAAUUGAUGGAGAUAUCAAGGAUAUUACUUAAAUUAAACAAUAAAUAAUACAGAUUAUUAAAACAAAAGAACAUUGAACAAAUAACAAGCAAACCCGAUCAUUUCGGGAAGCAUACAUCAAAUUUUGGCUGAGGAAACGGAGUUGCCAAAAAAAGGCCAAAAAGGAAUAAAAAUCAUGGAAUUAAAUGGCGAAAAUGACUUAAUAGUUAAAAUUAGUAGUAGGUCGGAGGAGGAGAUGCUGAUGGGGGUGGAGGUGAAGCAUAGGUGGCGGAUUUCUCGUACUUCUCAGGCGGUGCUGGUGACACAUAGGUAGGAGUUUGCUUGUAAUAGUUUGUUGGUGGUGGAGGUGAGUAAUAAGAUGGUGAUUUUUCAUAGGUCUUUGGUAGAGAUGGCAAGUUGUAAGUUAUAGGUGGUUGCUCGUAGUAUUUUGGUGGAGGUGGAGGAGAUUUAUAAGAAGGUGUAGAUCCUUUGUAGUAUGGAGGAGGUGGAGAUUUAUAAGAAGAUAGUGAUUGCUCAUAGUAUUUUGGUGGGGAUGGAGAUGACUUGUAAUAAGGUGAUUGCUUUAUAGUAUGGUGGAGGUGGAGAUUUGUAAGAAGAUGGUGACUGCUCAUUGUAUGUUGGAGGAGGUGGGGGUGAAUUAUAGUACGAAGGUGAUUUCUCAUAAUAAGUUGGCGGUGGUGGAGAUUUAUAGUAAACUGGGGACUUGUAAUUUUUUUUUGGUGCCGGUAACUUAUAAUAUUUAGAAGGAGCAGGUGAUUUAUAGUAUUUUGUUGCGGAUGGUGACGUGUAGUACUUUGCAGGUGAUGGCGCUUUGUAGUACUUUGCAGGUGAUGGUGACUUGUAGUAGUUCAAUGAAGGAGCUGGUGACUUGUAGUAUUUUGAAGGAGCUGAUGACUUGUAGUAUUUUGCAGGAGCUGGGGACUUGUAGUAUUUUAUGGGAACUGGCGAUUUGUAGUAUUUUACAAGAGCUGGCACCUUGUAGUAUUUUGCGGGAACUGGCGAUUUGUAAUAUUUUGCGGAAGCUGGAGAUUUGAAAUAUUUUACAGGAGUUGGCCACUUGUAAUAGUGCUUUACGCUGGCGAUUUGUAGUGUUUUACAAGAGCUGGCACCUUGUAGUAUUUUGCGGGAACUGGCGAUUUGUAAUAUUUUGCGGGAACUGGAGAUUUGUAAUAUUUUACGGGAGCUGGCGACUUGUAAUAGUGCUUUACAGGAAGAGGUGACUUAUAGUAAGGAAUAGGUACAUGAUACUUGGAUGGAGAUGGAGAUUUGUAAUACUUCUUAGAGGUGUAAGAAGGUGAGGGAGAAGCAUACCCAUAAGAGUAAUCAGCAACGACAGAGCUGGCUAUAAAGCAAAUUGCCAAAGCAACUGCAAGUAAAGGCCAUUGUCCCAGCUUCCCUAUGCUUGUCAUUUUGCUUAUGAUACAACCAAUAUUUGGAGAAAGAAUGAAAAGAACUUAAACUUGACUUGCAUAUUGAGUAGUGAGCAUAUUUGGAGAAGAAUGAAAAGAACUUAAACUUGACUUGGAUAUUGAGUAGGGAGCUCUGGCUUUUAUAUAGGAACAUAAUAUUAUCAUUUUAGGGUUGUGUUAUUGGGCAUCCACUAAGAUUAUAGCUAAGUCAAAAUAUGGACUUCAUCUUUUCUAGAAUUAGUGGUAGGCAUUAUCUCCAGUCGAGUAGAAAACUCUGGUUUUUAUAUUUCAGUGAGAUAUCUUUAUUAAUUAGGACUAACAUUUAUGUAAUUGUUCUUGGUUAGCCACAAAGAUUAUAAAGCAAAGGCCAAAUAAAUAAGGGCCUUUUCACUUUUAAUCUGCCAAAAAUUAUUUAUAUUUAGUAGCCGAAAAAAUAUAUAAAUUUUUUUAUGAUUUUUAUUUAUAACAUAUAGAAUUUAUAUAUACAUAUAAAAUAUAUAUAUUUUUCGGCUAUUAUUUUGAGAGCUGCUAUAGAGUAUAAUUUUCUAAUAAAUAAUAAGCCAGUACUUAAUGGUUAGCUUUUUUCUGUUGACUGGAAAACAAUUUAGAGAUAAAUAUUAAAAAUGGAGAAAACAAUAAGGAUGCCACGACUUGCAUCCCAUUAGCGAAGAUUAAGUUGACUUUUACAAAUAAUUACGGUAUGCUAUUGAAUAUGCAGUUCAAAAACUAUCAGGAAAACCAGCAAAUACACACAUCAGAGUAUACCUUAAGGGGUCAUUUGAUUCAGUUAUAGAAUAUUCAAUGAGACUAUAAUUCUGGGAUAGGGUGGUUGAAGUAAGGUUGAGAAUGACGGUGUCCGUUUCCGACAACCAGUUUGAUUUCACGCCGGGUCGUAUUACUGCUGAAGCUAUACAUCUUGCUAGGAAGUUGGUUGAACGGUAGAGAGAUAGAAAGAAAUAACUGCACAUGGGGUUAUUAUGGGGUUACCCCAAGGUUUUGCACUCAUUCCGUUCCUAUUCGCCCUAGUGAUGGACGCUUUAUCACAUCACAUUCAAGAGGAUGGGCCAUGGUGCAUGCUAUUUACAGAGACAUAGUUUUGAUUGAUGAGUCACGAACCAGUGUUAACGAGAGGCUGGAGGUUUAGAGGCAUGCUCUUAAAUCUAAGUUUUUCAAGCUUAGCACGACAAGACGAAAUACCCGGAGUGUAUGUUCACCGCUGAACAGAGGGAAGUGGGUGUGAAUGUGAGGCUUGAAUCCCAGGUCAUCCCGAGUAGAGACAUCAUCAAGUACCUUGGGUCGGUUAUCCGNNNNNNNNNNNNNNNNNNNNNNNNNNNNNNNNNNNNNNNNNNNNNNNNNNNNNNNNNNNNNNNNNNNNNNNNNNNNNNNNNNNNNNNNNNNNNNNNNNNNNNNNNNNNNNNNNNNNNNNNNNNNNNNNNNNNGGGGGGGGGGGGGGGGAAGAUCGACAAGGAUGUUACACACCGUAUUGGGUAGAAUUGAUAAAGUGGAGGUUAGCAAAUGGAGUAUUGUGUGACAAGAGAGUGCCACUGAUACUCAAACGUAAGUUCAAUAAAGCGGUGGUUAGGCCGGCCAUGAUAUAUGGGGCAGAGUGUUGGCUAGUUAAUAAAUCACAUACCCAGAAGAUGAAGGUAGCAUAAAUGAGGAUGUUGAGGUAGAUGUGCGGGCAUAUUAGGAUUGAUAAGAUUCGGAAUUAUGAUAUUUGGGAGAGGUGUGCGUAGCUCCCAUUGAUGACAAGAUGUGGGAAGUAAGGCUCAGAUGGUUCCGGCAUGUUCAGAGGAAAAGCCCAGAUGCUCCGGUAAGGAGGUGCGAACGACUGGUUGUGGAGGGCACGAGAAGAGGUAGGGGCGGCCUAAGAAGCAUUAGGGGGAGGUGAUUAGGAAGGAGAUGACGAGUCUUCAGAUUUACGAGGACAUGGCACUUGAUAGAAAUAUGUGGAGGUUGAGUAUGAGGGUUGCACGUUAAGAGGUAGUCGAGUCUUGUCUUAUGCCAUAACUUUGUGUGACUAGUUUGGUAGGGAUACUAUUUUGCUUUUGGUUUGUAUCAUUCUUCUUAAUUGCAUGUUGUUUCUAUUUUUUGUAUUUUUUCACAUUAUAUAUGUGGUGUUACUAAUAUUAUCUUCUUUUGUAUUUUUGUCUUCUUGAGCCGAGGAUCUUUCGAACCACAACUAGAUCAUAAUUUUUUUAAUAUUUGAGAGAGCUUCUAUUGUUAAAAAUUGUAGUGAGAUAGAAUUGAACUCACAACCUAUUCUAACUUAAGAGUCUAUUAAAACAAUGGAUUAAGGUUAUUUCUUAUUGAGUAAUAUGAUAAUUAAUAUUAUUUACUAUGUGCUCUUCUAUAAAUAUCGACACCAUUUACGAAAAAUCAUACGUACGCCCCUACAUUUGGUAUGAAUACUAUUUCGGUAUUAGCUUAUAUCCACAUUCAAAUAGGAGAUAACUAUUCACAAAUUUUAUACACGGAUUAAUAUCUUUAUCAUGUUAACCAAAUGACCCCUAAAUGUAUCGGUAUGAGUGUAUUGAGAAAAUUUGAGUUUACAUAAUAAAGUGGAAUAAAGAUGACGUCUCAAGGACACGUAGACUGAUAAAAAAUUUUCAACUGGCAAAGAGAUACGAGUUGCAACAGAUACGAGCAAAGACUGAGGAAGAGGCACGGGUAGUUAUUCAAAUGACUCAGCGCCCGUACCUAUUUAAGUCCUUGAAGUCCGAGAAUCAAAGGAAAUGAGUCUGAUAAUAUAAAAGAAUACAGAUAUAGCAUUUAAUGUUGAAUACAUUAGGGAAUCUGUAUUAAUAUAAUUAUUAUGUAACGUAGCAUUCAAUGUCUUUAAUUACUCAUAAUAUCCUCAUUAUGGCAUAGGCAAAAUGUUUUAAAGGGAGAUAAUUGAUCUAUUGUUAGGACACGAAUUACUAUCUGAUUAUACAUUGGUUUACUUGAUUCUAAUUAUCUUAACUCUAGCCAACUUACUUUCUUUUAUACAUUCUUUCGAUUAUCAGUAACCCAUAUUCUUCUAAAUUAUCGCUUUGACUAAAAUCUCUUUUUUCUUGUUAAACAAAUUGGUUUCGUUACCGCGAAUAUGAUAAUCUAUUCUCUUUUAACUUAACUUUCCUUGCUGCAUCCACCAUUUCGAACAACAAGGAAAACAUUCAAGGAAACCAAGAAAACUAAUAACUUCAGGGAGACCCACAUGAUAAUAACGCAAUGAUUACUUCUCCACGAGGCUCUCCAUGUCGAUCUCGUGAAGGCACUCCUAAUGGAUCUCAUACAAAUGGACAGGCUCAACUUAAAAAUGUUUAAGCUAUGGAUGAGGCUUUGCAAAAACUUAUUGCCUCACAGGUAAAUAAAGCUCUUCAGGAUAUAUUAGCCAGUUUCUUGUUGCACCAUCCACACCUACUCCAAAUAAUAAUACUUUGGAGAACCCUCAUUCCGGGCUUGUUAAUUCAGGUAAUGGUGGAACCCCCAGCAAAUCAUAGGAAGGAAAACCAGGUAACUUAGUUAAUUCUGAUUUGAAAAAUUCAGUACUAACAUUGCAUAAACAGCUCAAGGAGUGAAGUGACCGCAUAUCGCAAAUACCCUAUGUACUGCCCCUAUUCAAAGGGGUAGAUAUGGAUAAAUAUUCACAAUAACCGUGGAAGCUAUGUUUUGCUCCCCUCCCAAUUCCAAAUAAAUUCAAAAUGCCUGAUAUUCCAAAAUACGAUGGAACAAUAGACCCACAUGAUUACAUGACUGCAUUCACGACAGGCGUAAAAGGAAAUGAUUUGACAAAGCAGGAGAUUGAAUCAGUAUUGUCAAAAACUUUGGAGAAACACUCACCAAGUAUGCAUUAACAUGGUAUUCUCUUUUACCCAAAAAUUCUAUAAAUUCUUUUGAUGAGCUUUCAUAUUCUCUCAUCAAAGCAUACUCAGGAGUUCAAAAAUUUGAAAAAGAGGAUGGAAGAUAUUUUCAAUAUCAAGCAAGGGGACUCAAAAUUACUUAGGGAGUUCGUAGAUAGAUUCCAACGUAAAAGAACAAUCUUGCCCCGUGUACUUAAUAAUUGGGCCGCUAUAGCUUUCACAAGUAAUUUGAGAGAAAAAAGGUCAGAAGCUACAAGGCGACUCAAGGAAAGCCUUUGUGAAUUCCCAGCUAUAACAUGGAAUAACAUUUACAACAGGUAUAGUACGAAGUUGAGAAUAGAAGAAGAUAUCGUUCCUCGAUUUCAAAAAAAGGAAAAAGGGUAGCGCGAGAAGGGCGAAAACCGAAAAGAGGUCCGGUAAAAAUAGGUACGAGCCAUACAUGGGAUUUGUGGGAAAAGACUCACGGUCAAAAUAGGACUAUCAAAGGUAUAAUCCCAGAUCAAGGAAUAGAGAGUUAGGAUCUUCAUCAAGAUUUGGGAAUUAUCGAAACACCCAAGAGUCACGAGAUGAGGAUAGAGCGGUUACAAUUUCAAUGCAAGCACGUACGAACUCGUAGCUGCUUUAAGAAACAUGGGUAACAAGGUAUGAUGGCCAAAAGAGAUGAGAUCGAAUCCAAUCAGAGGCAACUCUGACCAUUGGUGCGAGUUUCAUAAUGAUCACGGGAACAAGAUGGCAGAAUGCAGGUUUUUAUAAAGUGAAGUUGAUCAUCGAUUAAAACAGGGGUACCCCACCGAGUUAUUCAGUGAGAAAGGUAAACAAGCUUAUAUGAAGAAUAGGAGGAGCCUCCAAAAUCACCUUCACCCAAAAAGACCGUCAAUGUCGUAAGCGGAGGGGAAGAUAUCAACGGUGUGACAUACAAGACAUCCAAUAAAGUUUCUAAGGUCACCAUUACCCACAUAAAGCGGGUGCGACAUGUCUUAGAAGAAGAAAGUAUUACCUUUGAUGAUGCAAAUGCGGGUGGCGUAUUAUCUCCACAUAACGAUGUACCGGUAAUAACUCUACUUGUACAUGAUACUAAUGUACAACGAGUUUUGAUUGAUCCAGGAAGUUCUGUAAAUAUUAUCCUACUAAGGGUACAGUACGUGAAAUGCAAGCUAAUGAUAAUUUAGUACCAAAGGCGCAUACUCUGUCUGGAUUUGACAAUUCCAGCAUCGUAAAAAAAAGGAGAGGCAAUACUUACUACUUUCGCAGAAGGUGUAAUCAAAGAUACUAAGUUUCAGGUAGUAGAUAUUGAGAUGUCCUAUAAUAUGAUCCUUGGGAAACCAUGGAUUGACGAGAUGGAUUUUUUUCCAUCAACCUUACAUCAAAUUAUUAAACUCCCAUCAACAUGGGGAAUAUGUCAAAUCCGUGGGGAUCAACAUACAUUUAGAAGCAUCAAUUCUGUAGCAGAUUCAAGUACAAGAAAUGAAGAAAUAUUGCAACUGCAGAAUCGAAUUGAGGAAAUCACAACAUAAACCUCCAAUUGACAAGAGCAUAUUGAUGUGGACUCAAGGGCAGACACCAUUCAACAGCCAGAGGGAAAUGAAAAUACCAAAUUAACGAUUGAAGAAUUAGAAGUCGUAGUAUUAUUCGAACAAUGGCCUGAAAGGAAAGUUUAUGUGGGAGCCAAUCUGAGCCCAGAUAUGAAAAUUAUGUUAAUUGGAUUCUUAAAAGCUAGCGUGGAUUGUUUUUCUUGGUCCCACUCUGAUAUGACAGGAAUACCACCGGAGGUAAUGACUGACAAGUUAAACGAAGACCCAUUUUAUUCUCAUAUCAAACAAAAGAAGAGAAAGCAAGGAACUUUCCAAAAUCAAGUGAUUCAAGAUGAGGUUCAAAAAUUACUAAAUAUUGGGUCUAUCCGCGAGGUAAAGUAUCAUAAUUAGUUAGCUAAUACUGUUGUCGUACCAAAAGAAUGGUAAGUGGCGAGUUUGUGUAGAAUACACAGAUCUUAAUAAAGCAUGUCCUAAAGAUUCUUUUUCAUUACCACAUAUAGAUCAACUAAUUGAUGCUACUGCAGGGCAUGUGCUAAUAAGUUUUUUAGAUGCAUAUUCAGGGUACAAUUAGAUCAAAAUGGAUCCAGUGGAUGAUGAAAAAACUUCAUUCAUACCAAGCAGGGGGACUUACUUUUAUAAAGUAAUGCCAUUUGGUCUGAAAAAUGCCGGUGCAACAUAUCAAAGGUUGGUCACUAAAAUGUUUCAAGAAUAUUUGGGAAAAAACAUAGAGGCUUAUAUAGAUGAUAUGCUAAUUAAAACUUAGCAUUCAAGGUAUCAUAUAUCUCAUUUAUCUGAUACAUUUCAAAUUCUGUGCAAAUUUAACAUGAAGUUAAAUCCCGAGAAAUGUGCAUUUGGCGUCGCAUCAAGUAAGUUUUUAGGUUUUCUUGUUUCUAACCAUGGUAUUGAAAUGAAUCCCGCACAGAUUAAGGCCAUUGAAGAAAUCCCUGACAUGAUUUCAAGCAAAAAAAAAGUUCAGAGAUUAACAGGAAGAAUUGCAGCCUUGGGAAGAUUCAUUUCUAAAUCAUCGUAAAAGUGUUGUAUAUUCUUCUCACCUCUAAAAGAGCAAGAUUAUUUUGAAUGGAAUGAGGAAUGUUAGCAGGCACUUAGAAAUUUAAAAACAUACUUAUCAAAUACACCGUUGCUCGCAAAACGAAAGGUUGGGGAAAGAUUACUUAUUUACCUUGUUGUUUCAGAAAUAGCAGUAAGUGUUGUUUUAGUCCGAGAAGAACAAAGUAAAGAAUACCCCAUCUAUUAUGUUAGAAAAUCUUUGUUAGAUACAGAGACAUGGUAUCCGCAAUUGGAAAAACUUGCAUUUGCAUUUAUCAUGGCAUCUAGGAAGUUAAGACCUUAUUUUCAGUGUCAUCCUAUUGUUGUAGUAAUUGCUUACCUGUUACGUAAUAUAUUACAUAAGCAUGAAUUGUCGGGAAAGUUAGCUAAGAGGGAUGUUGAAUUGAGAGAAUAUUAUAUCAGUUACCAACCUAGAACCGCUAUAAAAUUUCAGGUAUUAGCGGAUUUCGUGGCUGAUUUUAGCCAAGGGAUGCAAUUAGAAGAAAACAAAGAAUUGCAGGUGUUCAAUGGAGCUAACCCAGGGACCUAGACCUUAUUCACUAAUGGUUCAUCCAAUGUAAAAGUUGCACGUUUUGGGAUCGUUUUGGCACCAACUAUGGGUGAAACCAUUCGAAAAGCUAUCAAAUGUAAUUCUAUAAUUAACAGUGAGGCAGAAUAUGAGGUUGUGAUUGCAGGUUUAGAGCUGGCACAAGAACUCGGCAUAAAUUAGAUUGUAAUCAAAAGCUAUUCACAACUCGUGGUUAAUUAAAUGUUGGGGAGUUAUGCAGCCGAAGAGGCGAGGAUACAUCAGUAUUUAGAAAAGGUACGGGAAUUGAUAAUGCAAUUUAAAACCUAGAAAGUUGCACAAAUACCAAGGGAUGAAAAUGUUUAAGCAGACGCUCUAGCUAAUCUCGCAUAUGUACUGUGGAGUUAUAUAGCCGGAGAGGCGAGGAUGCAGCAGUAUUUAGAAAAGGUACGGGAAUUGAUAAUGCAAUUUAAAACCGAGAAAGUUGCACAAAUACCAUGGGACGAAAAUGUUUGAGCGGACACUCUAGCUAAUCUCGCAUAUGUAGCUGACAUGGAAAACGAUGCAAACACUUCAGUUAUUCAUUUAUUUUAUUCAGCCCUUGACCUGGAUAAGAAUGAGGUAAGUUUUAAUAACUUUACUUGGGAUUGGAGGAAUGAGAUUGUUGUUUUUUUUGCAGUAUGGUACUGUCCCUGAUGAUAAAAAGAAGCACAUGCACUUCAAAAAAGGGAUGCUCCGUACUGCUUAAAGCAAAAAAAUCUUUAUCAUAAAAUGAUCGGUGAUCCCUUAGCAAGAUGCCUCGGACCUUCUCAAACAGAGUAGGUAAUGAGAGAAAUACACAAAGGACAUUAUGGAAAUCAUGCAGGUGGAAGAUUCCCGGUAAGAACCUUAAUUAGGAAAGGUUAUUACAGGCCUAAAAUAGAAUAGAAAGCAGAAAGUUUCGUGGCUAAAUGUGACAAAUGGCAAAGGUAUGGUAACAAUAUGCAUAGACCUGCGGAGUUAUUACAUCUAGUCAUUUCACUGUGUCCAUUUAUGAAAUGGGGAAUGGAUAUCGUGGGUCCAUUACCACAAGCAAAAGGACAUUCAAAGUUUUUUCACGUACUCACUGAUUAUUUUACUAAAUGGGUAGCCGCAAGAGAAUUAAAAUAGGUGCAAGAAAAGGAAGUCAAAGAAUAUAUUUGGUGGAAUAUUAUAUGCUAACUCGGUGUACCAAAGGAGAUCGUAUGUGAUGAUGGCCUUCAGUUUAUAGGAGCUCAAAUCACGGAAUUCUUUCAAAGUUGGUAGAUUAAAAGGAUUACAUCUACACCUUAUCAUCCGAUGGGUAGUGGGCAAGCAGAAUCACUAAACAAAGUCAUUAUCAACAAUUUAAAGAAGCGCUUAGAGGAAUAAAAAUGUAACUAGCCUGAAUUGUUGCCUUGAGUUUCAUGGGCAUAUCGCACAACAACAAAAAUGAGUAUAGGAGAAAAACCAUUUUCAUUGGUUUAUGGUGCUGAAGCUUUAAUUCUAGUUGAUAUAGGAUAACCGAGUGCACGGUUCAAACAUGCCAUAGAAAAAUCUAAUGACGAGGAGAUGCGGGUCAACCUUGAUUUAUUCGAAGGAAGGAGAGAAGUUGCACUAAUAAGAAUGGCAGCACAAAAACAAUUCAUAGAACGAUAUUACCACCGAAAAUCACGCCUCAAAUUCUUCAAAAUUUAGGACUUCAUGCUCAAAAGGUUAUUCAAUCUAGAAAGACAGCGAACGCGGGUAAAUUAAGCCCAACAUGGGAAGGACCCUAUAGAGUUCGUGAUAUUGAAGGAAUAAGAGCAUAUGAACUGGAGACAAUAGAUGGAAAGAUACUACCUUCACAUUGGAAUGUUGUUCAUCUGAAGAGAUACUAUUUCUAAGGAAUACCCACGGUCAGGUAUCCAUGUUUUAAAUUUAAUUUUUGAAUUGAAUUGUUAAAAUUUUACUAACAAUUUUAGAUGAUAGGCAAAAAGUUAACCCGUACUAAUUGAUGAGUUACGACUUGUAAGGCACAUAGAAUAAACUAAAAUUUCUAGCCUAGGGUUACAAUUAUUCUGAUAGAAAUACAAACAGGUUGAGCAGUCUUCAUCAAUAAUUGUACCUCCGAGUCCCGUGAAUUUUUCAUUUUCAAGAAAUGACCAAAUGAGAGGAACAAUCAAGUGUUCGAGGCUUCAUACUUCAACGCUCAAACACUUGGGGACUACAUAAUUUACACAUGCAUGUGUAUAAAGAAGACAAAGAAGAUUGAGAAAAAUCAAAGACCAAGCCUGAAAAACUCAAGUGCACAGAAAAAAUCACGAAGUCACGAGCUAGGACAAAUAAAAACCUUACUAUAGUUAGGGUAAAGGCUAUGUAGUGAAAUGGGUCAUAAGGAAAAACCUCCUAUUUAUUAUAUGUACUAAAAUGGGUUAUGAGGAAAAACCUUGUGUAUACUAUUCUUCUUUUCUAAAAUUUGUUACAAGAAAAACAGUGAAGAGAAAGUUAUAGAUGUAAUUUAAAUACAUGUAAAGUAUUAUUCAAAACUAGACAAGGUUCAAAGAAACAUGUGUGUUCCUAUUUCUUUUAUCGUAUGUUAAUACCAUUAUGAAGUUGAGACGUCUUCUUCAUUAAGUGUCGAAAUAUAAAAGGUCCUCUUUUAAAAACUUAUAUUUAAAUUAAUUAGUCAUGAGGAUAAUAGAAGCAUUUUUGAAGAAAAAAAUGCAAAAUAUUCUGUAAUUCCUUAAGAAUAAAGACAAGAAUAAAAUAAACAUAAGUUCAAGAUAAUAACAUGAAAACUUCUUAAUAGUUACAAACUUAAGACUAUGUAUGAACUUAGUCGAAAAACUAUGAAUUGUUUAUACAGAUUGCCCCAUGAAAAGACUUGGGGACUUGCCUUUCCAAAAUCAACCAUCAAAUGAAGCCUAGUGUUUGAUUACAAUUUUCCAAAUAAAAAAACAAAGUCAUUCAAAUAACUAAGGUUGGUCACUGAGAAGUAGGAGGAACUGAAACAAGAGCAUCAAUAGCAACAGGCUCAGUUUGGGCGGGUGCAUCAACAGUUGUGGGUUCAACGUGACUUGCAGCAACAUGAUCGACUAGGCUUGAAAGAAUUGGGAUUCUGGAAUCGACUUCAAUGUUCAUAGAAGCUUCAGCCACGGGAGAAGGAAACUCUUGAUUUUGCUGAACUUUCUCAGUGGUUUCAUUGAUCUUAGCCAACUCAGAUUCCAAGUUGAAGUUUUCUUGGCUAGCUUCGAUUAGGGUAUCACGGCGGAAAUUCAAAAAUUCCCAACUCACCUCAAUAGCACAUUUAUCUUUAAGGGGAUCAUAAUCCCCUUUCCCAAUCAGAAAUCUCAUUAAUUAGCUUCUCAAUUUUAGCCAAGGCAGAGUUGUAAGAAGUUUGAAGAGAGGCAUGGGAGCUUUCUAAAGCAUGCACCUUAUGAGAAGAGACUCGAAGGUCUGCUUGUGCUUGAGUUAAACUUUGCACGAGCUCCCCAGCGUAAGUUUCUUUUUUUCUCAAGAGAGCCUUCAACUCUCUAUUUUUUUCACUAGACUUGGAUAGUUGUUCUGAGAAGGAAGAUUCAAGACGCUCUUUUUUCUUUUUCUGGCUGGCUUGAGAAAGCUUUUACAACUUCUAACUCUAAGGUUAAAUCCCGCACAUGUUGUUCCAAGGUACUCGUGCUCUCUUCUAAGAACUCCACAUCAAUUUGUAAGCUCUCGAACUGUUCCUUCCAGUUGCACGCAUCUAAUUGAGAAUCACGUGCUAACUGCUCCAAGAGGGGGAUUCUGUUCAUUUCUGUGCCCUAUAAGAUUGGCCUAAAAAAAAGAGGAAGGAUAAUAAGAAUCCCAAAGAUAGGGAAAUUACAAAGAAAAAAAGAGAAGGUGAAUACCUUCUAAGUGCAUGCACAAUAUCAUUCAUCAGAGUCAGGGAGCUAUGGCUCUCCAACUUGGCUUUUUCAAUUGGGCCAACUAAAGGCUCUAGCCAAACAUCCGCCUGACCUGACUUCCUCACAAGACUGCUCUCAACAGGAACUUCAAUGACAACCUUCUUAAUAGCAGCACUUCUACUUGAAGAACCCACUUCAGUAUGAUGAAUUAUUGGAGGAGGAAUUGUGAAGGAGGAGGAGUAGAAGAGGUAAAAACAGUCGAGGAAAGAACACAAAAAGCUAGCGUUGUCAAGGAAGGAAUCAGAGGCACGAGUGUUGAAAUAAAAAAGAAGCUAAUAGUGUUUCGUGUAAAACAUGCCCUAAACCUCCACUACCAAAGCCACUUAUAAAAAGUUGUUUAAUGGACUCACGAGUAUCAGUGGAAGUGACAUCAUCAUCUGAAGUUAUUACCAAGGCUUCUAUUGGCUCGGUGAGAGGAAUGGAAAGACGGGGAGACGCUUCAGCAUCAUCAUCAGAAAUGAUACGUCUUCGAGCCCGCGACCUUGUAACCAAAGAGCCCCCAUAUUCUUUUUCUUCUUCAGAAUCUUUUUCUUCAAUAGCUUUUCUUUUUGCUGAAGUGCCAAGACUAUUUCUUGAGCCCUUUCUAAAGAGAUAUAGGUUCUUAAAGAGAUGCGGGAAGCCGCAACUACCUAGGCAAUAACUCCCCGAAUAGCAAAUUAUUAUAAAAAGAAAGAUUGAAGUUAGAAUAAUAAAAAUAUAUAUACAUGAAAGAUGAAACAAAAUAAAAAUUAUUACCAUGAGUUUUUACUUUCCAACCAUAAUGGUUAGAAAGUGACUUCCAAGACCUACCAUUGGUGCGGUCUUCAACAGCUUGUCUACCCAAUUACGGAAAUUGGGAACAUCCUCCACAACUCCCAUGGUUGCUAAAAAAAAGUAAGAAAUGUUGAUAAACUUGAAGAAAAACGCACAAGAAGGAUACAAGACUUACGUGCAAAAUUCCACUUCUCAGGAAAGGGAACGUUUUCCUUUCCCGCUAAUCCAACAGUGGGGGGCAGCAACAAACCGGGCAUGCCCGCCAUAGUCUUUAUCAUCCUCAAGGCUCACCAAAACCCUCUUGCUCUUGGCUACUAGUGUAAAAAUACCAUUGCGAAAGAGCCUAGGGGAGUAAGGGUGAAUCAAGUGAGGGAAAGUAAAGGAAACACCGGGUGUAUUGGUCAAAUGCCUCAAAAAGGCAACAUCCCUCCAUAUGAUUGGGACAAUUUGACCCCAACUGACGUCGAAGAAACGAAAAAAAUUCAAGAAUGCCUGGGUCAAUAGCUGGUCUAAACCCUAAAGUGAAAGAGUAUGUAUAAACAAAAGAAACCCAGUUAAGUAAGAGGCGAUUCUUUGAUUUGGAUAGGGAUAAUAAUAGAAAAAUCACUACUCCAAUGAUAGUCUUUACGAACUAUAGAAAUCAAACCUUCAGUUUUUUGAGUGGGAUAGACAUCAUCACGAUCUAAAGAAGACACUUGAUUCCGAAAAGACUCUCUGUCAUGAUAAAAAGACAAUUAUGAAGGACUAUCUCUUUUACUAAAGGUUCAUGUAAUGGUUUAGAAGGUUCUUUACCCCUAGAAGAAGAUUUUUGAGAAAGAGAACCCAUGUUUCUAGAAGAGGGACCAGAACUAGGACAGGGCAUAGAAGAACAACCACCAGCAGGCCCAAAACUACGAAGCGUACCUCCCCUUCUACUCCUAAUGGGGGCAUUAGGAAAAGUAUCAACUAUGGAAACUCUCCUAGGGUUAGGGUUUGAUGAAUACAUAGCGAAGAAGGAUGAUACGAGGAAGAAAUAAGGAAAGAAGUUAUAUUUAUAUUGAUAAGCAACCGCCAAAGGAAAAAAAGGCAAUGAUGGAGGGGAUAUAAUAAUGAAAACUGAUGCUUCGUGUACAAUGGAGCCGUAAAAGAACUUUAAAAGGGGCUUCAAAACUGCAGGACUAAUGUGAAAGUGACACGUGUGAAGAGCAUUAAAUAGAAGUGACAAUUGAGAAAAUUGAGUUUGCAUAAUAAAGUGGAACAAAGAUGACGUGUCAAAGACACGUAGAGUGGUCAAAAAGUUACAAUUAGCAAAGAAAUACGAGCAAAGGCUAAGGAAGAAGCAUGGGCAGUUAUUCAAAUGACUCAGCGCCCGUACCUAUUUAAGUCCUUGAAGUCCUAGAAUCAAAGGGAAUAAAAAAGAGUACAGAUACAACAUUUAAUGCCGAAUACGUUAUGGAAUCUGUAUUAAAUAUAAUGAUUAUGUAACGUAGUAUUCAAUGUCUUUAAUUACACAUAAUAUCCUCAUUAGGGCAUAGGCAAAAUGCCUAUCUCCAAGGUAUCUAUAAAAGGGAGAUAUUUGAUCAACUGUGAGGAAACGAAAUACUAUCUGAAUAUACUUUGAUUUACUUGUUUCUGAUUAUCUUACUUCUAGCCAAAUUACUUUAUUAUAUAUAUUCUUUCGAUUAUCAGUAACCCGUGUUCUUCUAAAUUAUAGCUUUGACUAAAAUUUUAUUUUUUGGUUAAACAAUGAGAAUAACGUACAACCUGAAAUUGGACUAGGCACUCGUAAAACGGUUUGAGCCAGAUGUGGGAAAGUCUUGGCUCUUAAAAUUUGCGCUUCAAGCGCCCACAUGUACCCAUAAAAGGCAUCCGAGCCCAUCACAUGAGGCUCGUCCAAUUGAUUUUGUGCAAUCGAGUGUAAUUAGUUAUGUAAAUCCAUAAAUUCCUUAACCAAGCUGUCUAUAUUGACCAUAAAUCAUAAGUGAGAACAUUGCAAGCUUUGUCUUGUCUUUAAAACAUUAGGGGGUAAAGUUAACCUAUACCUAUAUUGGUGGAAGAAAGCAGACGCAGUCCAUGUUUUGUUAAACUUACCCAGACAACCAUUUAUUAUCGCGAGAGAUAACUUCAAAUAAUAGUAAGAAAAUGUUUCUUCAUUAAUUUACUUCACCUGAGGUACUCCAUUUAUUACCACGAGAGAGAGCUUCAAAUAAUUGUAAGAAAAUGUUUCUUGAUUCAAUUACUUCACCUGAGGUACAUAUCACAUUAUGUUUCCAAGAUUGUUUUUUUUUUCUUUUGAUGUUGGAUUGUUGAUGUUCCAUAUCUAUGCUAAUGUUUUCACAAUUAUAUUUAUUUAAUUAGAGUUUUAAAAGAUUAUUGUGUUUUUAGCAAUUUAUUUUUAACUAUCCUACUAUUUGUAGAUUUAUAAAUUAGUUAAAUUUAAAGAUUUAUGGGGCUUGCACACCAUGUCUGGAGCUACACUUCGCCUUGGGCGUCCAUCCUUCAAUACACUACGUCAAACCUUAAAGCGUUAACUUUGGAGCUUACACUUCGCCUUGGGCGUCCAUCCUUCAAUACACUACGUCAAACGUUAAAGCGUUAACUUUUGCCAUUUUUGUGCUUUUCAAUUUUUAUUUAAAUCUUUUCAACUAAGUUUGAAUAGAUGUUCAGGAGGUGUACUUAUGGACUAACGAAUGACUUCAGUCUAUUAAAGUACGCAGUAUUAGACAAAGAAGACGACACAAUUAAGAAAAGUAGAAUGCAAAGAAUCUCGAUAUAAUAAUGAGCAGAAUUGAUGGAGAUCUCAAGGAUGUUACUUAAAUUAAACAAUAAAUAAUACAGAUUAUUAAAACAAAAGAACAUUGAACACAUAAUAAGCAAACCCGAUCAUUUCGAGAAGCAUAUAUCAAAUUUUGGCUGAGGAAAUGGAGUUUGCCAAAAAAGGCCAAAAAGGAACACAUCAAAUUUUGGCUGAGGAAAUGAAGUUGCCAAAAAAAGGCCAAAAAGGAAUAAAAAUCAUGGAAUUAAAUGGCGAAAAUGACUGAAUAGUUAAAAUUAGUAGUAGGUCGGAGGAGGAGAUGAUGAUGGGGGUGGAGGUGAACCAUACGUGGCGGAUUGCUCGUACUUCUCAGGCGGUGCUGGUGACACAUAGGCAGGAGUUUGCUUAUAAUAGUUAGUUGGUGGUGGAGGUGAGUAAUAAGAUGGUGAUUUUUCAUAGGUCUUUGGUAGAGACGGCAAGUUGUAAGUUAUAGGUGGUUGCUCGUAGUAUUUUGGUGGAGGUGGAGGAGAUUUAUAAGAAGGUGUAGAUCCUUUGUAGUAUGGAGGAGGUGGAGAUUUAUAAGAAGAUAGUGAUUGCUCAUAGUAUUUUGGUGGGGAUGGAGAUGACUUGUAAUAAGGUGAUUGCUCAUAAUAUUUUGGAGGAGGUGGUGUAUGUUGGAGGAGGUGGGGGUGAAUUAUAGUACGAAGGUGAUUUCUCAUAAUAAGUUGGCGGUGGUGGAGAUUUAUAGUAAACUGGGGACUUGUAAUUUUUUUUUGGUGCCGGUAACUUAUAAUAUUUAGAAGGAGCAGGUGAUUUAUAGUAUUUUGUUGCGGAUGGUGACGUGUAGUACUUUGCAGGUGAUGGCGCUUUGUAGUACUUUGCAGGUGAUGGUGACUUGUAGUAGUUCAAUGAAGGAGCUGGUGACUUGUAGUAUUUUGAAGGAGCUGGUGACUUGUAGUAUUUUGCAGGAGCUGGGGACUUGUAGUAUUUUAUGGGAACUGGCGAUUUGUAGUGUUUUACAAGAGCUGGCACCUUGUAGUAUUUUGCGGGAACUGGCGAUUUGUAAUAUUUUGCACUGGCGAUUUGUAGUAUUUUACAAGAGCUGGCACCUUGUAGUAUUUUGCGGGAACUGGUGAUUUGUUAUAUUUUGCGGGAGCUGGAGAUUUGUAAUAUUUUACGGGAGCUGGCGACUUGUAAUAGUGCUUUACAGGAAGAGGUGACUUAUAGUAAGGAAUAGGUACAUGAUACUUGGAUGGAGAUGGAGAUUUGUAAUACUUCUUAGAGGUGUAAGAAGGUGAGGGAGAAGCAUACCCAUAAGAGUAAUCAGCAACGACAGAGCUGGCUAUAAAGCAAAUUGCCAAAGCAACUGCAAGUAAAGGCCAUUGUCCCAGCUUCCCUAUGCUUGUCAUUUUGCUUAUGAUACAACCAAUAUUUGGAGAAAGAAUGAAAAGAACUUAAACUUGACUUGCAUAUUGAGUAGGGAGCUCUGGCUUUUAUAUAGGAACAUAAUAUUAUCAUUUUAGGGUUGUGUUAUUGGGCAUCCACUAAGAUUAUAGCUAAUUCAAAAUAUGGACUUCAUCUUUUCUAGAAUUAGUGGUCGGAAUUUUCUCCAGUCGAGUAGAAAACUCUGGCUUUUAUAUUUCAGUGAGAUAUCUUUAUUAAUUAGGACUAACAUUUAUGUAAUUGUUCUUGGUUAGCCACAAAGAUUAUAUAGCAAAGGCCAAAUAAAUAAGGGCCUUUUCACUUUUAUUCUGUCAAAAAUUAUUUAUAUUUAAUAGCCGAAAAAAUUUAUAAAUUUUUUUGUGAUUUUUAUUUAUAACAUAUAGAAUUUAUAUAUACACAUAAAAUAUAUAUAUUUUCGACUAUUAUUUUGAAAGCUGUUAGAGUAUCAUUUUCUAAUAAAUACUAAGCCAGUACUUAAUGGUUAGCUUUUUUCUGGUGACUGGAAAACAAUUUAGAGAUAAAUAUUAAAAAUGGAGAAAACAAUAAGGAUGCCACGACUUGCAUCCCAUUAGCGUAAAUUAAGUUGACUUUUACAAAUAACUACGGUAUGCUAUUGAAUAUGCAGUUCAAAAACUAUCAGGAAAACCAGCAAAUACAAAAACCAGAGUAUACCUUAAGAGGUCAUUUGAUUCAGUUAUAGAAUAUUCAAUGAGACUAUAAUUCUGGGAUAGGAUGGUUGAAGUAAGGUUGAGAAUGACGGUGUCCGUUUCCGACAACCAGUUUGAUUUCACGCCGUGUCGUAUUACUGCUGAAGCUAUACAUCUUGCUAGGAAGUUGGCUGAACCAUAGAGAGAUAGAAAGAAAUACCUGCACAUGGGGUUAUUAUGGGGUUACCCCAAGGUUUUGCACUCAGUCCGUUCCUAUCCGCCCUAGUGAUGGACGCUUUAUCACAUCACAUUCAAGAGGAUGUGCCAUGGUGCAUGCUAUUUACUGAUAACAUAGUUUUGAUUGAUGAGUCACAAACCAGUGUUAACGAGAAGCUGGAGGUUUAAAGGCAUGCUCUUAAAUCUAAGUUUUUCAAGCUUAGCAGGAAAAGACGAAAUACCCGGAGUGUAUGUUCACGGCUGAACAGAGGGAAGUGGGUGUGAAUGUGAGGCUUGAAUCCCAGGUCAUCCCGAGUAGAGACAUCAUCAAGUACCUUGGGUCGGUUAUCCGGGGGAGGGGGGGGGGGAAGAUCGACAAGGNNNNNNNNNNNNNNNNNNNNNNNNNNNNNNNNNNNNNNNNNNNNNNNNNNNNNNNNNNNNNNNNNNNNNNNNNNNNNNNNNNNNNNNNNNNNNNNNNNNNNNNNNNNNNNNNNNNNNNNNNNNNCCAUAUUGGGUAGAAUUGAUAAAGUGGAGGUUAGCAUAUGGAGUAUUGUGUGACAAGAGAGUGCCACUGAUACUCAAAGGUAAGUUCUAUAAAGCGGUGCCGGCCAUGAUGUAUGGGGCAGAGUGUUGGCUAGUUAAGAAAUCACAUACCCAGAAGAUGAAGGUAGCAUAAAUGAGGAUGUUGAGAUAGAUGUGCGGGCAUAUUAGGAUGGAUAAGUUUCGGAAUAAUGAUAUUUGGAAGAGGUGUGCGUAGCUCCCAUUGAUGACAAGAUGUGGGAAGUAAGGCUCAGAUUGUUCCGGCAUGUUCAGAGGGAAAGCCCAGAUGCUACGGUAAGGAGGUGCGAACGACUGGUUGUGGAGGGCACGAGAAGAGGUAGGGGCGGCCUAAGAAGCAUUAGGGGGAGGUAGGAAGGAUAUGAAGAGUCUUCAGAUUUACGAGGAAAUGACACUUGAUAGAAAUAUAUGGAGGUUGAGUAUGAGGAUUGCACGUUAGGAGGUAGUCGAGUCUUGUCUUAUGUCAUAACUUUGUGUUACUAGUUUGGUAGGGAUACUAUUUUGCUUUUGGUUUGUAUCAUUCUUCUUGAUUGCAUGUUGUUUCUAUUUUUCGUAUUUUUUCACAUUAUAUCUGUGGUGUUACUAAUAUUAUCUUCUUUUGUAUUUUUGUCUUCUUGAGCAGAGAAUCUUUCGAACCACAACUAGAUCAUAAUUUUUUUAAUAGAGCUUCUAUUGUUAAAAAUUGUAGUGAGAUAGAAUUGAACUCACAACCUCUUCUAACUUAAGAGUCUAUAAAAACAAUGGAUUAAGGUUAUUUCUUAUUGAGUAAUAUGAUAAUAAAUAUUAUUUAUUAUGUGCUCUUCUAUAAAUAUCGACACCAUUUACGAAAAUCAUACGUACGCCCCUACAUGUGGUAUGAAUACUAUUUCGGUAUUAGCUUAUAUCCACAUUCAAAUAGGAGAUAACUAUUCACAAAUUUUAUACACGGAUUAAUAUCUUUAUCGUGUUAACCAAACGACCCCUAAAUGUAUCGGUAUGAGUGUAUUGAGAAAAUUUGAGUUUACAUUUAAAGUGGAAUAAAGAUGACGUCUCAAGGACACGUAGACUGGUAAAAAAUAUACAACUGGCAAAGAGAUACGAGUUGCAACAGAUACGAGCAAAGACUGAGGAAGAGGCACGGUAGUUAUUCAAGUGACUCAGCGCCCGUACCUAUUUAAGUCCUUGAAGUCCGAGAAUCAAAGAAAAUGAGUCUGAUAAUAUAAAAGAAUACAGAUAUAGCAUUUAAUGUUGAAUACAUUAGGGAAUCUGUAUUAAUAUAAUGAUAAUGUAACGUAGCAUUCAAUGUCUUUAAUUACUCAUAAUAUCCUCAUUAUGGCAUAGGCAAAAUGUUUAAAAGGGAGAUAAUUGAUCUAUUGUGAGGACACGAAAUAAUAUCUGAAUAUACAUUGGUUUACUUGAUUCUAUUUAUCUUAACUCUAGCCAAAUUACUUUCUUUUAUACAUUCUUUCGAUUAUCAGUAACCAUAUUCUUCUAAAUUAUCGCUUUGACUAAAAUCUCUUUUUUUUUGUUAAACAAAUUGGUUUCGUUACCGCGAAUAUGAUAAUCUAUUCUCUUUUAACUUAACUUUCCUUGCUGCAUCCACCAUUUCGAACAACAAGGAAAACAUUCAAGGAAACCAAGAAAACUAAUAACUUCAGGGAGACCCACAUGAUAAUAACGCAAUGAUUACUUCUCCAUGAGGCUCUCCACGUCGAUCUCGUGAAGGCACUCCUAAUGGAUCUCAUAUAAAUGGACAGGCUCAAUUUUAAAAUGUUUAAGCUAUGGAUGAGGCUUUGCAAAAACUUAUUGCCUCAUAGGUAAAUAAAGCUCUUAAGGAUAUAUUAGCCAGUUUCUUGUUGCACCAUCCACACCUACUCCAAAUAAUAACACUUUGGAGAACCCUCAUUCCGGGCUUGUUAAUUCAGGUAGUGGUGGAACCCCAGCAAAUCAUAGGAAGAAAACCAGGUAACUUAGUUAAUUCUGAUUUGAAAAAUUCAGUAUUAACAUUUCAUAAACAGCUCAAGGAUCGAAGUUACCGCAUAGCGCAAAUACCCGAGGUACUGCCCCUAUUCAAAGGGGUAGAUAUGGAUAAAUAUUCACAACAACCCUGGAAGCUAAGUUUUGCUCCCAUCCCAAUUCCAAAGAAAUUCAAAAUGCCUGAUAUUCCAAAAUACGAUAGAACAAUAGACCCACAUGAUUACAUGACUGCAUUCACGACAAGCAUAAAAGGCAAUGAUUUGACCAAGCAGGAGAUUGAAUCAGUAUUGUCAAAAACUUUGGAGAAACACUCAUCAAGUGUGCAUUAACAUGGUAUUCUCUUUUACCCAAAAAUUCUAUAAAUUCUUUUGAUGAGCUUGCAUAUUCUUUCAUCAAAGCAUACUCAGGAGUUCAAAAAUUCGAUAAAAAGGAUGGAAGACAUUUUAAAUAUCAAGCAAGGGGACUCAAAAUUACUCAGGGAGUUCGUAGAUAGAUUCAAACGUGAAAGAACAAUCUUGCCCCGUGUACUUAAUAAUUGGGCCGCUAUAGAUUUCACAAGUAAUUUGAGAGAAAAAAGGUCAGAAGCUACAAGGCGAAUCAAGGAAAGCCUUCAUUAAUUCCCAGCUAUAACAUGGAAUAACAUUUACAACAGGUAUAGUACGAAGUUGAGAAUAGAAGAAGAUAUAGUUCCUCGAUUUCAAAAAAAGGAAAAAGGGUAGUGCGAGAAGGGCGAAAACCGAAAAGAGGUCCGGUAAAAAUAGGUACGAGCCAUACAUGGGAUUUGUGGGAAAAGACUCAUGGUCAAAAUAGGACUAUCAAAGGUAUAAUCCCAGAUCAAUGAAUAGAGAGUUAGGAUCUUCAUCAAGAUUUGGGAAUGAUCGAAACACCCAUGAGUCACGAGAUGAUGAUAGAAAUUUAAAGGCGAGACUUGGCGGUUACAAUUUCAAUGUAAGCACUUCCGAACUCGUAGCUACUUUAAGAAACAUGGGUAACAAGGUAUGAUGACCAAAAGAGAUGAGAUCGAAUCCAAUCAGAGGCAACUCUGACCAUUGGUGCGAGUUUCAUAAUGAUAACGGGAACAAGAUGGCAGAAUGCAUGUUUUUAUAAAGUGAAGUUCAUCAUCUAUUAAAACAGGGGUACCCCACCGAGUUAUUCAGUGAGAAAGGUAAACAAGCUUAUAUGAAGAAUAGGAGGAGCCUCCAAAAUCACCUUCACCCAAAAAGACCGUCAAUGUCGUAAGCGGAGGGGAAGAUAUCAACGGUGUGACAUACACGACAUCCAAUAAAGUUUCUAAGGUCACCAUUACCCACAUAAAGCGGGUGCGACAUGUCUUAGAAGAAGAAAGUAUUACCUUCGAUGAUGCAGAUGCGGGUGGCGUAUUAUCUCCACAUAACGAUGUACCGGUAAUUACUCUACUUGUACAUGAUACUAAUGUACAACGAGUUUUGAUUGAUCCAGGAAGUUCUGUAAAUAUUAUCCUACUAAGGGUACACUACGUGAAAUGCAAGCUAAUGAUAAUUUAGUACCAAAGGCGCAUACUCUGUCCGAAUUUGACAAUUCCAGCAUCGUAACAAAAGGAGAGGCAAUACUUACUACUUUCGCAGAAGGUGUUAUCAAAGAUACUAAGUUUCAGGUAGUAGAUAUUGAGAUGUCCUAUAAUAUGAUCCUUGGGAAACCAUGGAUUCACGAGAUGGAUGUUGUUCCAUCAACCUUACAUCAUGUUAUUAAACUCCAAUCACCAUGGGGAAUAUGUCAAAUCCGUGGGGAUCAACAUACAUUUAGAAGCAUCAAUUUUGUAGCAUAUUCAAGUCCAAGAAACAAAGUAAUAUUGCAACUGCAGAAUCCAAUUGAGGAAAUCACAACAUAAACCUCCAAUUGACAAGAGCAUAUGGAUGUGGACUCAAGGCCAGAUACCAUUCAAGAGCCAGAGGGAAAUGAAAAUACCAAAUUAACGAUUGAAGAAUUAGAAGUCGUAGUAUUAUUCGAACAAUGGCCUGAAAGGAAAGUUUAUGUGGGAGCCAAUCUGAGCCCAGAUAUGAAAAUUAUGUUAAUUGGAUUCUUAAAAGCUAGCGUGGAUUGUUUUUCUUGGUCCCACUCUGAUAUGACAGGAAUACCACCGGAGGUAAUGACUGACAAGUUAAACGAAGACCCAUUUUAUUCUCAUAUCAAACAAAAGAAGAGAAAGCAAGGAACUUUCCAAAAUCAAGUGAUUCAAGAUGAGGUUCAAAAAUUACUAAAUAUUGGGUCUAUCCGCGAGGUAAAGUAUCAUAAUUAGUUAGCUAAUACUGUUGUCGUACCAAAAGAAUGGUAAGUGGCGAGUUUGUGUAGAAUACACAGAUCUUAAUAAAGCAUGUCCUAAAGAUUCUUUUUCAUUACCACAUAUAGAUCAACUAAUUGAUGCUACUGCAGGGCAUGUGCUAAUAAGUUUUUUAGAUGCAUAUUCAGGGUACAAUUAGAUCAAAAUGGAUCCAGUGGAUGAUGAAAAAACUUCAUUCAUACCAAGCAGGGGGACUUACUUUUAUAAAGUAAUGCCAUUUGGUCUGAAAAAUGCCGGUGCAACAUAUCAAAGGUUGGUCACUAAAAUGUUUCAAGAAUAUUUGGGAAAAAACAUAGAGGCUUAUAUAGAUGAUAUGCUAAUUAAAACUUAGCAUUCAAGGUAUCAUAUAUCUCAUUUAUCUGAUACAUUUCAAAUUCUGUGCAAAUUUAACAUGAAGUUAAAUCCCGAGAAAUGUGCAUUUGGCGUCGCAUCAAGUAAGUUUUUAGGUUUUCUUGUUUCUAACCAUGGUAUUGAAAUGAAUCCCGCACAGAUUAAGGCCAUUGAAGAAAUCCCUGACAUGAUUUCAAGCAAAAAAAAAGUUCAGAGAUUAACAGGAAGAAUUGCAGCCUUGGGAAGAUUCAUUUCUAAAUGAAAUCCCUGACAUGGUUUCAAGCAAAAAAAAAAGUUCAGAGAUUAACAGGAAGAAUUACAGCCUUGGGAAAAUUCAUUUCUAAAUCAUCGUAAAAGUGCUGUAAAUUCUUCUCAGCUCUAAAAGAGCAAGAUUAUUUUGAAUGGAAUGAGGAAUGUUAGCAGGCACUUAGAAAUUUAAAAACAUACUUAUCAAAUACAUCGUUGCUCGCAAAACGAAAGGUUGGGGAAAGAUUGCUUAUUUACCUUGUUGUUUCAGCAGUAGCGGUAAGUGUUGUUUUAGUCCGACAAGAACAAAGUAAACAAUACCCCAUCUAUUAUGUUAGAAAAUCUUUGUUAGAUGUAGAGACAUGGUAUCCGCAAUUGGAAAAACUUGCAUUUGCAUUAAUCAUGGCAUCUAGGAAGUUAAGACCUUAUUUUCAAUGUCAUCCUAUUGUUGUAGUAACUUGUUAGCCAUUACACAAUAUAUUAUAUAAGCAUGAGUUUUCGGGUAGGUUAGCUAAAUGGGCUAUAGAAUUAAGUGAAUAUGAUAUUAUAUACCGUACCUAUUACGUAAUAUAUUACAUAAGCAUGAAUUGUCAGGAAAGUUAUCUAAGAGGGGUAUUGAAUUGAGUGAAUAUUAUAUCACUUACCAACCUAGAACCGCUAUAAAAUUUCAGGUAUUAGCUGAUUUCGUGGCUGAUUUAAGCCAAGGGAUGCAAUUAGAAGCAAAAAAAGAGUUGCAGGUGUUCAAUGGAGCUAACCCAGGGACAUAGACCUUAUUCACUAAUGGUUCAUCCAAUGUAAAAGUUGCACGUUUAGGGAUCGUUUUGGUACCACCUAUGGGUGAAACCAUUCGAAGCUAUCAAAUGUCAUUCAAUAAUUAACACUGAGGCAGAAUAUGAGGUUGUGAUUGCAGGUUUAGAGCUGGCACAAGAACUCGGCAUAAAUUAGAUUGUAAUCAAAAGCUAUUCACAACUCGUGGUUAAUUAAAUGUUGGGGAGUUAUGCAGCCGAAGAGGCGAGGAUACAUCAGUAUUUAGAAAAGGUACGGGAAUUGAUAAUGCAAUUUAAAACCUAGAAAGUUGCACAAAUACCAAGGGAUGAAAAUGUUUAAGCAGACGCUCUAGCUAAUCUCGCAUAUGUAGCUGACAUGGAAAACGAUGCAAACACUUCAGUUAUUCAUUUAUUUUAUUCAGUCCUUGACCCCGAUAAGAAUGAGGUAAGUUUUAAUAACUUAACUUGGGAUUAGAGGAACGAGAUUGUUGUUUUUUUGCAGUAUGGUACCGUCCCUGACGAUAAAAAAAGCACAUGCACUUCAAAAAAAGGAUGCUCGGUACUUCUUAAAACAAAAAAAUCUUUAUCAUAAAAUGAUCGGUGGUCCCUUAGUAAGAUGCCUUGGACCUUCUCAAAUAGAGUAGGUAAUGAGACAAAUACACAAAGGACAUUGUGGAAAUCAUGCAGGUGGAAGAUUCCCGGUAAGAACCUUAAUUAGGACAGGUUAUAAUUGGCCUAAAAUAGAAUAGAAAGCAGAAAUUUUCGUGUCUAAAUGUGACAAAUGCCAAAGGUAUGGUAACAAUAUGCAUUGACCUGUGGAGUUAAUACAUCUAGUCAUUUCACUGUGUCCAUUUAUGAAAUGGGAAAUGGAUAUCGUGUGUCCAUUACCACAAGCAAAAGGACAUGUAAAGUUUUUGCACGUACUCAUUGAUUAUUUUACUAAAUGGGUAGCGGCAAGAGCAUUUAAAUGGCUGCGAGAAAAGGAAGUCAAAGAAUAUAUUUGGCGGAAUAUUAUAUGCUAAUUCGGUGUACCAAAGGAGAUCGUAUGUGAUAAUGGCCUUCAGUUUAUAGGAGCUCAAAUCACGGAAUUCUUUCAAAGUUGGCAGAUUAAAAGGAUUACGUCUACACCUUAUCAUCCAAUGGGUAGUGGGCAAGAAGAAUCACUAAACAAGGUCAUUAUCAACAAUUUAAAGAAUCGCUUAGAGGAAUCAAAUGUAACUGGCCUGAAGUGUUGCCUGGAGUUUCAUGGGCAUAUCGCACAACAGCAAAAAUGAGUAUAGGAGAAACACCAUUUUCAUCGGUUUAUGGAGCUGAGGCUUUAAUUCUAGUUGAUAUAGGAUAACCGAGUACACGGUUCAAACAUGCGAUAGAAAAAUAUAAUGACGAGGAGAUGUAGGUCUACCUUUAUUUAUUCGAAGGAAGGAGAGAAGUUGCACUAAUAAGAAUGGCAGCACAAAAACAAUUCAUAGAACGAUAAUACCACCGAAAAGCACGCCUCAAAUUCUUCAAACUUGGGAACUUCGUGAUCAAAAGGUUAUUCAAUCUAGAAAGACAGCGAACGCGGGUAAAUUAAGCCCAACAUGGGAAGGACCCUAUAGAGUUCGUGAUAUUGAAGGAAUAAGAGCAUAUGAACUGGAGACAAUAGAUGGAAAGAUACUACCUUCACAUUGGAAUGUUGUUCAUCUGAAGAGAUACUAUUUCUAAGGAAUACCCACGGUCAGGUAUCCAUGUUUUAAAUUUAAUUUUUGGAUUGAAUUGUUAAUAUUUUACUAACAAUUUUAGAUGAAGGCAAAAAGUUAACCCGUACUAAAUGAUGAGUUACGACUUGUAAGGCACACAGAAUAAACUAAAAUUUCUAGCCUAGGGUUACAAUUAUUCUGAUAGAAAUACAAACAGGUGAGCAGUCUUCAUCAAUAAUUGCACCUCCGAGUCCCGUGAAGUUUUCAUUUUCAAGAAAAGGACCAAAUGAGAAGAACAAUCAAGUGUUCGAGUCUUCAUACUUCAACGCUCAAACACUUGGGGGACUACAUAAUAUACACAUGCAUGUGUAUAAAGAAGGCAAAGAAGAUUGAGAAAAAUCAAAGAUCAAACCUGAAAAACUCAAGUGCACAGAAAAAAUCACGAAGUCACGAGCUAUGACAAAUAAAAGCCUUACUAUAGUUAGGGUAAAGGCUAUGUAGUGAAAUGGGUCAUAAGGAAAAACCUCCUAUUUAUUAUAUGUACUAAAAUGGGUUAUGAGGAAAAACCUUGUGUAUACUAUUCUUCUUUUCUAAAAUUUGUUACAAGAAAAACAGUGAAGAGAAAGUUAUAGAUGUAAUUUAAAUACAUGUAAAGUAUUAUUCAAAACUAGACAAGGUUCAAAGAAACAUGUGUGUUCCUAUUUCUUUUAUCGUAUGUUAAUACCAUUAUGAAGUUGAGACGUCUUCUUCAUUAAGUGUCGAAAUAUAAAAGGUCCUCUUUUAAAAACUUAUAUUUAAAUUAAUUAGUCAUGAGGAUAAUAGAAGUCCUCUUUUAAAAACUCAUAUUUAAAUUAAUUAGUCAUGAGGAUAAUAGAAGCAUUUUUGAAGGUAAAAAUGCAAAUUAUUCUGUAAUUCCUUAAGAAUAAAGACAAGAAUAAAAUAAACAUAAGUUCAAGAUAAUAACAUGAAAACUUCUUAAUAGUUACAAACUUAAGACUAUGUAUGAACUUAGUCGAAAAACUAUGAAUUGUUUAUACAGAUUGCCCCAUGAAAAGACUUGGGGACUUGCCUUUCCAAAAUCAACCAUCAAAUGAAGCCUAGUGUUUAAGAUUGCCCCAUGAAAAGACGUGGGAUUUGCCUUUCAAAAAUCAACCAUCAAAUGAAGCCUAGUGUUUGAUUACAAUUUUCCAAAUAAAAAAACAAAGUCAUUCAAAUAACUAAGGUAGGUCACUGAGAAGUAGGAGGAACUGAAACAAGAGCAUCAAUAGCAACGGGCUCAGUUUGGGCAGGUGCAUCAACAGUUGCGGCUCAACGUGGCUUGCAACAACAUGAUCGACUAGGCUUGAAAGAAUUGGGAUUCUGGAAUCGACUUCAAAGUUCAUAGAAGCUUCAGCCACGGGAGAAGGAAACUCUUGAUUUUGCUGAACUUUCUCAAUGGUUUCAAUUAUCUUAGCCAACUCAGAUUCCAAGUUGAAGUUUUCUUGGCUAGCUUCGUUUAUGGUAUCACAGCGUGAAUUCAAAUAUUCCCAACUCACCUCAAUGGCACAUUUAUCUUCAAGAGGCUCAUAAUCCCCUUUCCCAUUCAGAAAUCUCAUUCCUUAGCUUCUCAAUUUUAGCCAAGGCGGAGUUGUAAGAAGUUUGAAGAGAGGCAUGGAAGCUUUUUAAAGCAUGCACCUUAUGAGAAGAGACUCGAAGGUCUUCUUGUGCUUGAGUUAAAUUUUGCACAAGAUCCCCAGCGUAAGUUUCUUUUUUUCUCAAGAGAGCCUUCAACUCUGUUUUUUUCACUGGACUUGGAUAGUUGUUCUGAGAAGGAAGAUUCAAGACGCUCUUUUUUCUUUUUCUGGCUGGCUUGAGAAAUCUUUUGCAACUGCUAACUCUGAGGUUAAAUCCCGCACAUGUUGUUCCAAGGUACUCGUGCUCUCUUCUAAGAACUCCACAUCAAUUUGUAAACUCUCAAACUGUUCCUUCCAGUUGCACGCCUCUAAUUGAGAAUCACGUGCUAAUUGCUGCAAGAGGGGGAUUUUUUUCAUCAUUUCUGUGCCCUAUAAGAUUGGCCUAAAAAAAAGAGGAAGGAAAAUAAGAAUCCCAAAGAUAGGGAAAUUACAAAGAAAAAAAAAGAGAAGGUGAAUACCUUCUAAGUGCAUGCAGAAUAUCAUUCAUCAGAGUCAGGGAGCUAUGGCUCUCCAACUUGGCUUUUUCAAUUGGGCUAACUAAAGGCUCUAGCAAAACAUCCACCUGACCUGACUUACUCAAAAGACUGCUCUCAACAGGAACUUCAAUGACAACCUUCUUCAUAGAAGCACUUCUACUAGAAGAACCCACUUCAGUAUGAUGAAUUAUUGGAGGAGGAAUAGUGAAAGAAGGAGCAGUAGAAGAGGUAAAAACAGUAGAGGAAGGAACAAAAAAAGCUAGGGUUGGCAAGGAAGGAAUCGCAUGCACGAGUGUUGAAAAGAAAAAGAAGCUAAUAGUGUUUCGUGUAAAAUAGACCCUAAACCUCCACUACCAAAGCCACUUAUAAAAAGUUGUUUAAUGGACUCACGAGUAUCAGUGGGAGUGACAUCAUCAUCAGGAGUUAUUACCAGGGCUUCUAUAGGCUCGGUGAGAGGAAUGGAAAGAUGGGGAGACGCUUCAGCUUCAUCAUCAGAAAUGAUACGUCUUCGAGCCCGCGAACUUGUAACCAAAGAGCCCCAAUCUUCUUUUUCUUCUUCAGAAUCUUUUUCUUCAAUAGCUUUUCUAUUUGGUGAAGUGCCCAAGACUAUUUCUUGAGCCCUUUCUAAAGAGAUAUAGGUUCUUGAAGAGAUGCGGGAAGCCGAAACUACCUAGGCAAUAACUCCCCGAAUAGCAAAUUCUUAUAAAAAGAAGGAAUGAAGUUAGAACAAUAAAAAUAUAUAUACAUGAAAGAUGAAACAAAAUAAAAAUUAUUACAAUGAGUUUUUACUUUCCAACCAAAAUGGUUAGAAAGUGACUUCCAAGACCUACCAUUGGUGCGGUCUUCAACAGCUUGUCUACCCAAUCACGGAAAUUGGGAACAUCCUCCACAACUCCCAUGGUUGCUAAAAAAAUGUGAGAAAUGUUGAUAAACUUGAAGAAAAAGGCACAAGAAGGAUACAAGACUUACGUGCAAAAUUCCACUUCUCAGGAAAGGGAACGUUAUCCUUUCCCACUAAACCUACAAUGGGGGGCAACAACAAACCGGGCAUGCCAGCCACAGUCUUUAUCAUCCUCAAGGCUCACUAAAACCCUCUUACUCCUGGCUACUAGUGUAAUAACACCAUUGCCAAAGACCCUAGGGGAGUAAAGAUGAAUCAAGUGAGGAAAACUAAAGAAAACACCGGCUGUAUUGGUCAAAUGCCUCAAACAUGCAACAUCCCUCCAUAUGAUUGGGCCAAUUUGAGCCCAACUGACGUUGAAGAAACAAAAAAAAUUCAAGAAUGCCUGGGUCAAUAGCUGGUAUAAACCCUAAGGUGAAAGAGUAUGUAUAAAAAAAAGAAACCACAGUUAAGUAAGAGGUGAUUCUUUGAUUUGGAUUAGGGAUAAUAAUAAGAAAUCACUAUUUCAAUGGUAGUCUUUAUGAACUAUAGAAAUCAAACCUUCAGUUUUUUGAGUGGGAUAGACAUCAUCACGAUCAAAGGAAGACACUUGAUUCCGAAAAGACUCUCUUUGAUGAUAAAAAGACAGUUAUGAAGGACUAUCUCUUCUACUAAAAGUUCAUGUAAUGGUUUAAAAGGUUCUUUACCCCUAGAAGAAGAUUUUUGAGAAAGAGAACCCAUGUUUCUAGAAGAGGGACCAGAACUAGGACAGGGCAUAGAAGAACAACCACCAGCAGGCCCAAAACUACGAAGCGUACCUCCCCUUCUACUCCUAAUGGGGGCAUUAGGAAAAGUAUCAACUAUGGAAACUCUCCUAGGGUUAGGGUUUGAUGAAUACAUAGCGAAGAAGGAUGAUACGAGGAAGAAAUAAGGAAAGAAGUCACCACGAGCAGGCCCUAAACUAUGUAGCGUACCUCCCCUUCUACUCCUAAUGGGGGAAUUAGGAAAAGUAUCAACUAUGGAAACUCUCCUAGGUUAGGGUUUGAUGAAGACAUAGUGAAGAAGGAUGAUACGAGGAAGAAACAAGGAAAGAAGUUAUAUUUAUAUUGGUAAACAACCGCCAAAAGAAAAAAAGGCAAUGAUGGAGGGGACAUAAUAAUGAAAACUGAUGCUUCGUGUACAGUGGAGCCGUAAAAAACUUUAAAAGGGGCUGCAAAACUGCAGAACCAAUGUGAAAGUGACACAUGUGAAUAGCAUUAAAUAGAAGUGACAAUUGAAGUGUUUAUUCAGUCAUAGCAUUAAUUGUGACAAAAAUUCUUGCUUUAAUAAAAUCCACUUUUCAAGUAUUCCACUGAUGAAUAAAUAGUAAGUGGGAGGACUAUCUGUAUUGGGAAAAUUUGAGUUUGCAUAAUAAAGUGGAAUAAAGAUGACGUGUCAAAGACACGUCGAGUGGUCAAAAUAUUACAAUUGGCAAAGAGAUACGAGCAAAGACUGAGGAAGAGGCAAGGGCAGUUAUUCAAAUGACUCAGCGCCCGUACCUAUUUAAGUCCUUGAAGUCCUAGAAUCAAAGGGAAUACAAAAGAGUACAGAUACAACAUUUAAUGCCGAAUACGUUAGGGAAUCUAUAUUAAAUAUAAUGAUUAUGUAACGUAGUAUUCAAUGUCUUUAAUUACCCAUAAUAUCCUCAUUAUGGCAUAGGCAAAAUGCCUAUCUCCAAGGUAUCUAUAAAAGGGAGAUAAUUGAUCAACUGUGAGGACACGAAAUACUAUCUGAAUAUACUUUGAUUUACUUGUUUCUGAUUAUCUUACUUCUAGCCAAAUUACUUUUCUAUAUAUAUUCUUUCGAUUAUCAGUAACCCGUAUUCUUCUAAAUUAUAGCUUUGACUAAAAUUUUAUUUUUUUGGUUAAACAAUGAGAAUAACGUACAACAUGGAAUUGGACUAGGCACUCGUAAAACGGUUUGGGCCAGAUGUGGGAAAGUCUUGUCUCUUAAAAUUUGCGCUUCAAGCGCCCACCCAUAAAAGGGCAUCCAAGCCCAUCACAUAAGGCUCGUCCAAUUGAUUUUGUGCAAUCGAGUGUAAUUAGUUAUGUAAAUCCAUAAAUUCCUUAAAUCAUAAGUGAGAACAUUGCAAGCUUUGUCUUGUCUUUAAAACAUUAGGGGGGUAAAGUUAACCUAUACCUAUAUUGGUGGAAGAAAGCAGACGCAGUCCAUUUUUUGUUAAACUUACCCAAACAACCAUUUAUUAUCGCGAGAGAGAACUUCAAAUAAUAGUAAGAAAAUGUUUCUUGAUUCAUUUACUUCACCUGAGGUACAUAUCACAUUAUGUUUCCAAGAUUGUUUUUUUUUUCUUUUGAUGUUGGAUUGUUGAUGUUCCAUAUCUAUGCUAAUGUUUUCACAAUUAUAUUUAUUUAAUUAGAGUUUUAAAAGAUUAUUGUGUUUUUAGCAAUUUAUUUUUAACUAUCCUACUAUUUGUAGAUUUAUAAAUUAGUUAAAUUUAAAGAUUUAUGGGGCUUGCACACCAUGUCUGGAGCUACACUUCGCCUUGGGCGUCCAUCCUUCAAUACACUACGUCAAACCUUAAAGCGUUAACUUUUGCCAUUUUUGUGCUUUUCAAUUUUUAUUUAGAGCUUACACUUCGUCUUGGGCGUCCAUCCUUCAAUACACUACGUCAAACCUUAAAGCGUUAACUUUUGUCAUUUUUGUGCUUUUCAAUUUUUAUUUAAAUCUUUUCAACUAAGUUUGAAUAGAUGUUCAGGAGGUGUACUUAUGGACUAACGAAUGACUUCAGUCUAUUAAAGUACGCAGUAUUAGACAAAGAAGACGACACAAUUAAGAAAAGUAGAAUGCAAAGAAUCUCGAUAUAAUAAUGAGCAGAAUUGAUGGAGAUCUCAAGGAUGUUACUUAAAUUAAACAAUAAAUAAUACAGAUUAUUAAAACAAAAGAACAUUGAACACAUAAUAAGCAAACCCGAUCAUUUCGAGAAGCAUAUAUCAAAUUUUGGCUGAGGAAAUGGAGUUUGCCAAAAAAGGCCAAAAAGGAAUAAAAAUCAUGGAAUUAAAUGGCGAAAAUGACUGAAUAGUUAAAAUUAGUAGUAGGUCGGAGGAGGAGAUGCUGAUGGGGGUGGAGGUGAAGCAUAGGUGGUGGAUUGCUCGUACUUCUGAGGCGGUGCUGGUGACACAUAGGUAGGAGUUUGCUUGAAAUAGUUUGUUGGUGGUGGAGGUGAGUAAUAAGAUGGUGAUUUUUCAUAGGUCUUUGGUAGAGAUGGCAAGUUGUAACUUAUAGGUGGUUGCUCGUAGUAUUUUGGUGGAGGUGGAGGAGAUUUAUAAAAAGGUGUAGAUUCUUUAUAGUAUGGUGGAGGUGGAGAUUUGUAAGAAGAUGGUGACUGCUCAUAGUAUGUUGGAGGAGGUGGGGGUGACUUAUAGUACGAGGGUGAUUUCUCAUAAUAAGUUGGCGGUGGUGGAGAUUUAUAGUAAACUGGGGACUUGUAAUUUUUUUUUGGUGCCGGUGACUUAUAAUAUUUAGAAGGAGCAGGCGAUUUAUAGUAUUUUGUUGCGGCUGGUGACUUGUAGAACUUUGCAGGUGAUAGCGCUUUGUAGUACUUUUCAGGUGAUGGUGACUUGUAGUAGUUCAAUGAAGGAGCUGGUGACUUGUAGUAUUU